GACGAACCGUGCAACCGUUAUUCGGAAUCACUGGGCUUAAAGGGCGCGUAGGCGGACAGGUAAGUCAGGGGUGAAAGCCCACGGCUCAACCGUGGAAGGGCCUUUGAUACUGCCUGUCUUGAGGGAGGUAGGGGCGUGCGGAACUUCCGGUGGAGCGGUGAAAUGCGUAGAUAUCGGAAGGAACACCGGUGGCGAAGGCGGCUCCCUGGACCGGUACUGACGCUGAGGCGCGAAAGCGUGGGUAGCAAACAGG
rnacentral:rRNA from 1 species